UUGAGUCUCCUGAAGGAACGUUAAAGACUAUGACGUUGAUAGGUCGGGUGUGUAAGCGCAGCGAUGCGUUGAGCUAACCGAUACUAAUGAACCGUGAGGCUUAACCUU
rnacentral:rRNA from 2 species